AACUCCGUGCCAGCAGCCGCGGUAAUACGGAGGGGGUUAGCGUUGUUCGGAAUUACUGGGCGUAAAGCGCGCGUAGGCGGAUUAGAAAGUUGGGGGUGAAAUCCCGGGGCUCAACCUCGGAACUGCCUCCAAAACUGCUAGUCUAGAGUUCGAGAGAGGUGAGUGGAAUUCCGAGUGUAGAGGUGAAAUUCGUAGAUAUUCGGAGGAACACCAGUGGCGAAGGCGGCUCACUGGCUCGAUACUGACGCUGAGGUGCGAAAGUGUGGGGAGCAAACAGGAUUAGAUACCCUGGUAGUCCACACCGUAAACGAUGAAUGCCAGUCGUCGGGUAGUAUACUAUUCGGUGACACACCUAACGGAUUAAGCAUUCCGCCUGGGGAGUACGGUCGCAAGAUUAAAACUCA
rnacentral:rRNA from 1 species